rnacentral:lncRNA from 1 species
CUAAGAGUUACUUAUAAUUCAAAUCUAUCAGUUGAAACUUACUAGAUUAGCGUAUUUUAGUUGAAGAGAGUCUCCAAGAACAGUGUUUAUAAGUCAUUGUAAAUUGUUCUGUUUAUGUUUAUGAAUAAUUCAUAUGGUUUUGUGGGUCACUUCCUCUAAACCAGGGUCUGUCAACCCUGCAUGAUUGCCAUUUGGGCUGCAUCAUCCUUCAUCGUCGGGGGCUGUCCUCUGCACUGUAGGAUGUUUAACAGCCUCCACCUACUAGCUGCCAACAGCAGUCCCUGACCACCCCCAGCUGUGACAACUAAAAGUGUCUCCAGACACUGCCAGGUGUCCUCUGUGGGGGUUGCAGUCUCCUUAGGUUAACAGCCACAGCUCUAAACUGACAGUUGUACGUGUUGCAUUAUAUAUGUUUACCUACAUCCUACAUGCUUCUAAAAGAUGUUGUAUGAACUAGUAGGAUGAGGUUUUAUCACAAGGUUUGCAGUAUCCUCAGAGUCUGAAUUUUGAGCGGAUAGUGAUGAGCCAGCUAAAUCCCCUGAAGAUUUGCCUGCCCUCAGUGGUUAACUUUUUUGCUGCAAUCACAAAGAUGAAGACUUGUGGAUAUGGAUGGUGGUGAUGGUUGCACAACAAUAUCAAUUUAUUUUAUACCACUGAACCGUGCACUUCAAAAUGGUUAAGAUGGCUGGGGUGUAGUGGUGCGAUCUUGGCUCACUGCAACCUCCACCUCCCGGGUUCAAGUGAUUCUCCUGCCUCAGCCUCCCAAGGAGCUGAGAUUACAGGCAUGCGCCACCACACCUGGCUAAUUUUGUAUUUUUAGUAGGGAUGGGGUUUCACCACGUUAGCCAGACUGGUCUCGAACUCCUGACCUCAGAUGAUCCACCCACCUUGACCUCACUUACAGGCGUGAGCCACCGCGCCUUGUCUCUGUUAUAUUUAUUUCUCUAUUUAAAUUGAUGGAUAUAUGCAAACCUGAUCAUUAUCAUACUUAUGCCUUGACACAAGAGAGGCAAUAAACUAAUCUAAGUGAUGCUUGUGAUGCCAAAGAUGUCAGAACACUUUCUGGGCCAAUGGCAGAUACCUCAUGUCACCAGAUGCUAAGGGUCCACAAUAAAAAGCGUUGAAUGAAAAUUUUGAGGAUAAAUAUCUCCAGGUUGAGGAAGAAGGUUGCACAUAUCGGGUGCUCAAUAAAUAUUUGUCGAAUGAAUGAAUGAGUGAAUGGCCCCAGUGUGUGGGGCUUGGGAAGUGAUUGGAUAUAGGCAGAGAAAAGGAACAAGUCAAAAAUAAUUCAGAAAUCAAGAACAAGCAAGUUGCCUUGAUAUACUUCAUUCCUACACUUGGCAAACUUUAGUGAUUAAGGAAACAAUGUUUUAAAAAAAGUUUUGGUGAUGAGACAUUCAGGAAGAUCUAUCAAUAAAUAGCAAACCUGGUCCUUUUUAAGACACUGUGUAUAAAAAAAUUCCAAAAAGAUUAAAAUCAGUGCAGAAACCAAAGAACCAUUUUUUUCUAUAUCAUAUUGAUCAUUUCAAGUGGAACUGUUAGCUAUCUUAGAAAAAUUGUGGUUCUCAAUUGGUUUUGCCUCUAUCUCUGAACCACCAUUCCUAAAGGAAAACAUUCAACCAGAAAAUUUCAGCACAUCACAAUCUCUCUGAAGAUUAAGAAGUCUCUGUGAAGGACUGAAUGUAUAAAUUGAAAAAUUUUUGCUGUCACAUUUAGGUAAAAGAGAAAUCGUUCUUCAUAUCCCCUUCCUUUCCAUCUGUAGCUCACCUAUGUCAACUUUCCUCUCAGAAGUGAAAUAAAAUUAAAGCUAUGACACUGAGUGUCAGUCAUGGAGGGACACGUUCCCCACUUAGCCUUUGCUGAAGUGUUUCCAGAGACAACUGUCUAAUGCCAGGUCCCCACUUAGUGGGCUGCACUUUUCUACUCAUUUGCACAUAAUCCAGAAGUCACAUUUUGGGUUCACAGUUUCCACUGGGGUAACCUCAUUAGGCCUGGCCACCUCUGUGCUUCUUGUGAAGUCUCUGAUUUGAAGGAUUAGUAUCCUUUCCAGACUGUGUGGGUUGACUUUCACCCAUCUGGAGUUGCUUGGAACAAAGAUAACUACCUCAACUCCUUGUCAUGAAAGCAAAAAAAAAAUAGCAUUAGAGUUCUGAGAACAGGAUGUCAUUACGGGUUGUGCCUUGUCAGCUACAGGUAAGAUAUUUGAGUGGCUCCUCAAGCCUCCCCAACUCCCUCUCCAACCUCGCUACACAGUCUUCCCAGGUCUGGUAUUUGACCUCCAGACUGCCGCCCAGAAAGCAACUCAGAGCUCAGCAACACCAUGAUGAUGAAACACAAAUAUGUGGGCCCCCAACUUUGGAGACUCCACUGGUUGCUUUUGUGCAGCUCUUUCUAUAUAUGACUUUCAAAAUGGCAGCCAACCCUCUCAACUGUUGGUUGAUCUGAAUAUGUAAAGUUCAGCCUUCAAACCCAGCAAACAGUCAGCUAUAGGAUAGAGUUCAGGUGCUGGGGAAUGACCACGGUUGGCUGCUACGUUGGGAACCCUGGUGACAUCAUAUAUGGACCUGGGAAUGUAAAGAAACGUAGGAAAUCUGAAUUUAUGACUUUUCUAAUCUCUCUAUCGGGAUCCUUUUUUGGAAUCAAGAUGAUUUUCCUUCUAAAAGGUCAUUUUAUUACAGUAAUGGGCAGGGUAGACAUACCUCACUAGCGUACUCUCAAAAUUUCUUGCAUGCAUAUGCUUUCUCCGGCAUGCAUAUGCUUUCUACUACAAUGUGAACAAGCCUACGAAAGCUAGCCUAAUGGAGGAUGAGAGACCACGUGGAGGAGAGCUGAAGUGCCCCAGCCAGCAGCUAGCCUACACCCACAGCUAUUUUGCUUGUGUUCCACUCGUCCUAUUUGCAUAAUAUUGUUCUUUAAGUUAACCCAUUCUUAAUUUAUUGUUUUAAUCUUAAGCAAUAAUAUUCAAGAACUAAUGAGUUUUGUGUAUUCAUUAUAUUUUUCCAUAAUAUAUAUUAUACUAAUAAAUGCCCAUUCAAAUUUU